rnacentral:rRNA from 1 species
CAAAAACAUCUUUUCUUGUUAGUUUUUGAAGUAUGGCCUGCCCGCUGACUUUAAGGUUGAAGGGCCGCGGUAUUUUGACCGUGCAAAGGUAGCAUAAUCAUUAGUUCUUUAAUUGUGAUCUGGUAUGAAUGGCUUGACGAGGCAUGGGCUGUCUUAUUUGUGGAAUAUUUUGAAUUUGGUUUUUGAGUUAAAAUUCUUAGAUGUUUUUAUGGGACGAGAAGACCCUAUAGAGUUUAACAUUUGGUGUAUAGUUUGUUUAUUGUUUGUUAUAUAGUUAUUUAUAUCCUGUUUGUUUUGUUGGGGUGAUGGGAAGAAUAUUUUCAACUCUUCUUUAUUUUUGGUACAUUUAUUUAUGUUUUUUUGAUCCAUUAAUUUUGAUUAUAAGAUUAAAUUACCUUAGGGAUAACAGCGUUAUCCUCCUUGAGAGUUCUUAUUGGCGGGAGGGUUUGCGACCUCGAUGUUGGAUUAAGGUUAAUUUUUGGUGUAGGAGCUGAAUUGAUUGGGUCUGUUCGACCUUUAAAUCCUUACGUGAUCUG